rnacentral:rRNA from 1 species
AUUGAACGCUGGCGGCAUGCUUUACACAUGCAAGUCGAACGGCAGCGGGGGCUUCGGCCUGCCGGCGAGUGGCGAACGGGUGAGUAAUGCAUCGGAACGUGCCCAGUCAUGGGGGAUAACUACGCGAAAGCGUAGCUAAUACCGCAUACGCCCUGAGGGGGAAAUGGGGGAUCUUCGGACCUCACGCGAUUGGAGCGGCCGAUGUCAGAUUAGCUAGUUGGUGAGGUAAAGGCUCACCAAGGCGACGAUCUGUAGCGGGUCUGAGAGGAUGAUCCGCCACACUGGGACUGAGACACGGCCCAGACUCCUACGGGAGGCAGCAGUGGGGAAUUUUGGACAAUGGCGCAAGCCUGAUCCAGCCAUGCCGCGUGAGUGAAGAAGGCC